rnacentral:rRNA from 1 species
AUUGAACGCUGGCGGCAUGCCUAACACAUGCAAGUCGAACGAGGGGCGGACGGGUGAGUAAUGUCUGGGCCCCUGCCCGGUGGAGGGGGAUAAAUACUGGUAACGGUAGCUAAUACCGCAUACCAUCAGCUGUGCCCAGAUGGGAUUAGCUAGGUGGUGGGGUAACGGCGCAACAAGGCGACUCUCCCUAGCUGGUCUGAGAGGAUGACAAGCCGACUUGGAACUGAGACACGGUCAAGACUCCUAAGGUAGGCAGCAGUGGGGAAUAUGGCACAAUGGGCGCAAGCCUGAUGCAGCCAUGCCGCGUGUAUGAAGAAGGCCUGCGGGUUGGAAAGGACUUUCAGCGGGGAGGCGUGACCCGCAGAAGAAGCACCGGCGAACUCCGUGCCAGCAGCCGCGGUAAUAC